GACGAACGCUGGCGGCGUGCUUAACACAUGCAAGUCGAACGGUGAAGCGCCUUCCUUUUUGGUGGGUGUGGAUGAGUGGCGAACGGGUGAGUAACACGUGAGUAACCUGCCCCCUUCUUCUGGAUAACCGCAUGAAAGUGUGGCUAAUACGGGAUAUUCUGGGUCUGUCGCAUGAUGGGUCUGGGAAAGAUAUUGUUUCGGUGGGGGAUGGGCUCGCGGCCUAUCAGCUUGUUGGUGGGGUGAUGGCCUACCAAGGCGGUGACGGGUAGCCGGCCUGAGAGGGUGGACGGUCACACUGGGACUGAGACACGGACCAGACUCCUACGGGAGGCAGCAGGGGGGAAUAUUGCACAAUGGGCGCAAGCAUGAUGCAGCGACGCCGCGUGAGGGAUGGAGGCCUUCGGGUUGUGAACCUCUUUCGCCAGUGAAGCAGGCCUGCCUCGUUUGUGGGUGGGUUGACGGUAGCUGGAUAAGAAGCGCCGGCUAACUACGUG
rnacentral:rRNA from 1 species